rnacentral:rRNA from 1 species
CCUACGGGUGGCAGCAGUGAGGAAUAUUGGUCAAUGGACGCAAGCCUGAACCAGCCAAGUUGCGUGCAGGAUGACGGCCCUACGGGUUGUAAACUGCUUUUGUACGGGGGUAAAGUGAGGCACGUGUACCUUUUUGAAUGUACUUUAUGAAUAAGGAUCGGCUAACUCCGUGCCAGCAGCCGCGGUAAUACGGAGGAUCCGAGCGUUAUCCGGAUUUAUUGGGUUUAAAGGGAGCGUAGAUGGUUUGUUAAGUUAGUGGUGAAAUUUUGCGGCUCAACCGCAAAAUUGCCACUGAUACUGGCAGUCUUGAGUAUAGUUGCGGUAGGCGGAAUUCGUGGUGUAGCGGUGAAAUGCUUAGAGAUCAUGCAGAACACCGAUUGCGAAGGCAGCUUACUAAACUGUGACUGACAUUGAGGCUCGAAAGCGUGGGUAGCAAACAGGAUUAGAUACCCCUGUAGUC